GGGACCCCCCAAAAACUCCGAGUCCCCUCGAGGUCUCAAGGCCACCGCGGUGUCCCUUUAUUUGGGGGGGUCUGCAAGGCUGGGGGCGGCACCUGGGGGUCCCCAGCUGUGCCCAGCUGUGCCCAGCUGUGCCCAGGGUCUCAGCGCUGUCCCCAAGGUGCCACACCCCAAUAAAAUCCCCCAAAAUUCCCAAGGAAUUCCCGUUUUUCCACAUUUUGGUGCCUCGAGGCCAUUCCAGGUGCGUCCCACGCCGUGCCCAGGUGCGCCAGAGUCUCUCAGGGCUGUCACACCCCAAUAAAAUCCCAAUAAAUUCCCAUUUUUCCACAUUUUGAUGCCUUGAGGCCGUUCCAGCUGUGCCCCACGCCGUUCCAGCUGUGUCCCCCGCCGUGCCCGGCCGUGCCAGCUGUGCCCAUUGUCUCUCAGGGCUGUCACACCCCAUUAAAUUCCCAAUAAAACCCCAAUAAAUUCCCA
rnacentral:lncRNA from 1 species